ACUAUUUUGGCAGAGAAAUGUGAUGGUUUUAGAAAUCGUAAAUGUAUAAUUUAUUAUAUAGGUAGUA
rnacentral:tRNA from 1 species